rnacentral:rRNA from 1 species
GACGAACGCUGGCGGCGUGCCUAAUACAUGCAAGUCGAACGCAGUGGGGCCGGGUGAUUAACACGUGGGUAACCUCCCAUCAGAGGGGAUACCACUUGGAAACAGGUGCUAAACCGAUAUUGCUGGUUGGACCCGCGGUGCAUUAGCUAGUUGGUGAGGUAACGGCUCACCAAGGCCACGAUGCAUCGCGGACCUGAGAGGGGGAUCGGCCACACUGGAACUGAGACACGGCCCAGACUCCUACGGGAGGCAGCAGUAGGGAAUAUUGGGCAAUGGACGAAAGUCUGACCGAGCAACGCCGCGUGAGUGAAGAAGGUUUUCGGAUCGUAAAACUCUGUUGUUAGAGAAGCGGUAUCUAACCAGAAAGCAACGGCUAACUACGUGCCAGCCGCCGCGGUAAUUC